UACGUAGGGUGCAAGCGUUGUCCGGAAUUAUUGGGCGUAAAGAGCUCGUAGGCGGUGUGUCACGUCGUUCGUGAAAACCUGCAGCUUAACUGUGGGCGUGCGGUCGAUACGGGCAUCACUGGAGUUCGGCAGGGGAGACUGGAAUUCCUGGUGUGAGCGGUGAAAUGCGCAGAUAUCGGGAGGAACACCUAUGGGCGAAGGCAGCUCGCUGGGACGUUACUGACGCUGGAGACGCGAAAGCGUGGGGAGCAAACAGG
rnacentral:rRNA from 1 species